GGUUGCGAUCGUACCAGCACUAAUGCACCGGAUCCCAUCAGAACUCCGCAGUUAAGCGUGCUUGGGCGAGAGUAGUACUAGGAUGGGUGACCCCCUGGGAAGUCCUCGUGUUGCAACCC
rnacentral:rRNA from 1 species